CCAGAGCCUGAAUCAGUGUGUGUGUUAGUGGAAGCGUCUGGAAAGGCGCGCGAUACAGGGUGACAGCCCCGUACACAAAAAUGCACAUGCUGUGAGCUCGAUGAGUAGGGCGGGACACGUGGUAUCCUGUCUGAAUAUGGGGGGACCAUCCUCCAAGGCUAAAUACUCCUGACUGACCGAUAGUGAACCAGUACCGUGAGGGAAAGGCGAAAAGAACCCCGGCGAGGGGAGUGAAAAAGAACCUGAAACCGUGUACGUACAAGCAGUGGGAGCACGCUUAGGCGUGUGACUGCGUACCUUUUGUAUAAUGGGUCAGCGACUUAUAUUCUGUAGCAAGGUUAACCGAAUAGGGGAGCCGAAGGGAAACCGAGUCUUAACUGGGCGUUAAGUUGCAGGGUAUAGACCCGAAACCCGGUGAUCUAGCCAUGGGCAGGUUGAAGGUUGGGUAACACUAACUGGAGGACCGAACCGACUAAUGUUGAAAAAUUAGCGGAUGACUUGUGGCUGGGGGUGAAAGGCCAAUCAAACCGGGAGAUAGCUGGUUCUCCCCGAAAGCUAUUUAGGUAGCGCCUCGUGAAUUCAUCUCCGGGGGUAGAGCACUGUUUCGGCAAGGGGGUCAUCCCGACUUACCAACCCGAUGCAAACUGCGAAUACCGGAGAAUGUUAUCACGGGAGA
rnacentral:rRNA from 1 species